rnacentral:rRNA from 1 species
CAUAGCAACCAUAACGAAGAGGUUCCACCUGAUCCCAUUCCGAACUCAGCAGUUAAACUCUUCCGUGCCGACGAUACCGCAAUGGGAAA